AGAUGCGUAGUCGAUGGGAAACGGAUUAAUAUUUCCGUACUUGAUAUAUCAGUGAAGGGGGGACGGAGAAGGCUAGACAAGCUUGGUGUUGGUUAUCCAAGUGAAAGUGCGUAGGGCGUUGAAUUAGGUAAAUCCGGUUCAACAUUAAACCUGAGACACGAGACGAGUUUCUACGGAAACGAAGUUGUUGAUGCCCUGCUUCCAGGAAAAGCCUCUAAACUUAUGAUAUAUCGAACCGUACCCCAAACCGACACAGGUGGUCAGGUAGAGAAUACUAAGGC
rnacentral:rRNA from 1 species